rnacentral:snRNA from 1 species
GGAUGUGAGCGUGAUCUGGCUGUGACAUCUGUCAUCCCAUUGAUCGUCAGGGUUGAUUCAGCUGAUCUGGCUGGCUAGGUGGGUGUCCCCUUCCUCCCUCACCGCUCCAUAUACAUCCCUCCCGAAGCUGUGCACUUGGUUGAAGAGGAUUACCUUCCCCUAAUAGAGGAGGACCCGUCUUCGGUCAAGGGUAUACGAGUAGCUGUUCUCCCCUGCUAGAACCUCCACACAUGCUCUCAAGAUCACUUGUGUGUUUGAACUUAGCCAUUCUGACAGGUGUAAGAUAGAAUCCCAAAGUAUUUGUAUUU